UCUAGUGUUUAAUCUUUCAAGGUAAGUGUACGACCGUAGAUAGACUCGAUCUAACUAAUAAAAAGAUCAGGUGAAGAAAGUAAGUUUGUUUUGAAGUUCUGUGUAUUUCUUCCUAAAUUGCGAAUCUGGUCUAUUUCACAUGUUAGGUAGGGUAUCGAAUAGAUGCUAGCAUCUACAGUGAAGUAAUAAUUCUUUUGCAACUUUUACUCACAACUUAGCUUAUGACUGAAGCUUUCAGCCUAUGAGUGUAAUUCCACUUCCGUCUCCAAUUUAUAGUAGUAAUUGUGGUAUGAAUGAAAGACUGUUAUGCUGCAGAAAGUGAAUUCUAGCCAGAUAUUAGUACGGAUCUAAUGUCAAUGAUACCCCAACUGAAAUAAUUGAGCUAUACUCUCUGAGAUUAUUAACAUUAAUCUGAAGAGCUACAAGCUUUCUUGGAACCUUCUGCAGCUGAAGCAUUGCACCGAGCCAUCACUCUCUGUCAAUACGGAGAACGGGGAACUUGGACACCCAGAGUCGACCAUCGACACUAACUGAGAAAGUUGAGCUUUUGCAUUUUCCACUUCAAUGGAGCAAGGACUGUAUCCAGAAAGAGUCUCCUGUGCUUUCUUCAAGACUGACUUCUAUAUUUCUGCAGCAGAAGACAUCGUCAUAUUCAAGAACCUUUAUACAGAAACUGAACUCAAAAUCUAAUGAAGUCAAUGUGUAAGAACAAGAGAAUUGCCUGUAAAUGGCUCUUG